GACGAACGCUGGCGGCGUGCUUAACACAUGCAAGUCGAACGAAGAGCGAUGGAAGCUUGCUUCUAUCAAUCUUAGUGGCGAACGGGUGAGUAACGCGUAAUCAACCUGCCCUUCAGAGGGGGACAACAGUUGGAAACGACUGCUAAUACCGCAUACGAUCUAAUCUCGGCAUCGAGGAUAGAUGAAAGGUGGCCUCUACAUGUAAGCUAUCACUGAAGGAGGGGAUUGCGUCUGAUUAGCUAGUUGGAGGGGUAACGGCCCACCAAGGCGAUGAUCAGUAGCCGGUCUGAGAGGAUGAACGGCCACAUUGGGACUGAGACACGGCCCAGACUGCUACGGGAGGCAGCAGUGGGGAAUCUUCCGCAAUGGACGAAAGUCUGACGGAGCAACGCCGCGGGAGUGAUGACGGCCGUCGGGUUGUAAAGCUCUGUUAAUCGGGACGAAAGGCCUUCUUGCGAAUAGGGAGAAGGAUUGACGGUACCGGAAUAGAAAGCCACGGCUAACUACGUG
rnacentral:rRNA from 1 species